GAAACAUGCGCCAUUAAGGCAACGCAAUCUUUUCUAAUUUGCUUUUAAAUCUGGCCAAAUAAGUCUACAGAUUCCAUACUAAAUAAAAACUGAAGUCAAAACUGAUGCCAUAAAUAAAAACCAAGUCACAACUCUCACUGAUCUCCCUGACCUCACAAUGACAGAAGCCGAACACAGAUCGAAUCAUGUAGCCACCAAACACUCUUAACUCAAAAUUAUGCAACCAGGGUGCUAGCAGUUGUUGACUCGUAUUUCCAAACUGGUGGAAGCUUCUUGGUUUUCUUAUAG
rnacentral:misc_RNA from 1 species